rnacentral:rRNA from 1 species
UCAGUCGACUCCUACGGGGAGGCAGCAGUGGGGAAUAUUGCACAAUGGGGGAAACCCUGAUGCAGCCAUGCCGCGUGUGUGAAGAAGGCCUUCGGGUUGUAAAGCACUUUCAGUAGGGAGGAAGGUAGUGUAGUUAACACCUGCAUUAUUUGACGUUACCUACAGAAGAAGCGCCGGCUAACUCCGUGCCAGCAGCCGCGGUAAUACGGAGGGUGCGAGCGUUAAUCGGAAUUACUGGGCGUAAAGCGCAUGCAGGCGGCCUGUUAAGUCAGAUGUGAAAGCCCGGGGCUUAACCUCGGAAUUGCAUUUGAAACUGGCAGGCUAGAGUCUUGUAGAGGGGGGUAGGAAUUUCAGGUGUAGCGGUGAAAUGCGUAGAGAUCUGAAGGAAUACCAGUGGCGAAGGCGGCCCCCUGGACAAAGACUGACGCUCAGAUGCGAAAGCGUGGGGAGCAAACAGGAUUAGAUACCCUGGUAG